rnacentral:pre_miRNA from 1 species
GUAAUACUCCCUCCGUUCCGAAUUACUUGUCGCAGGUAUGGAUGUAUCUAGAUGUAUUUUAGUUCUAGAUACAUCCAUUUCUGCGAUGAGUAAUUUGGAACGGAGGGAGUAUUUG